rnacentral:rRNA from 1 species
UACGGAGGGUGCGAGCGUUGUCCGGAAUCACUGGGCGUAAAGGGCGCGUAGGCGGCCUGAUAAGUAGGGGGUGAAAUCCUGCGGCUUAACCGCAGGGCUGCCUUCUAAACUGUCAGGCUGGAGCACAGUAGAGGCAGGUGGAAUUCCCGGUGUAGCGGUGGAAUGCGUAGAGAUCGGGAAGAACAUCAGUGGCGAAGGCGGCCUGCUGGGCUGUUGCUGACGCUGAGGCGCGACAGCGUGGGGAGGCAAACAGG